rnacentral:rRNA from 1 species
UGAAGGACGUGAUUACCAACGAAAUGCUUCGGGGAGCUGGCAGUAAGCUUUGAUCCGAAGGUCUCCGAAUGAGGAAACUCUUUAUAACUCUUUAUUGAAUCUAUAGAUAUUGAGUGGCAAACCUGGAGAAUUGAAACAUCUUAGUAUCCAGAGGAAAAGAAAGUAAAAACGAUUCCCUAAGUAGCGGCGAGCGAAUGGGGAAGAGCCUAAACCAUACUUCGGUAUGGGGUAGUGGGAAAGUUACUAAUAAAAAGCUAAAAGAAAUACCUGGAAGGGUAUACCGUAGAAAGUGACAGUCUUGUAUUUGAAAGCGAAAAAAAAACUUUAUCCCGAGUAGCAUGGAGCACGUGAAAUUCCGUGUGAAUCAGCGAGGACCACCUCGUAAGGCUAAAUAUUCCUGAAUGACCGAUAGUGAAACAGUACCGCGAGGGAAAGGUGAAAAGAACCCCGGGAGGGGAGUGAAAUAGAACAUGAAACCAUAAGCUUACAAGCAGUAGAAGGACGACUAAUCGUCUAACUGCGUGCCUGUUGAAGAAUGAGCCGGCGACUUGUAUUUAAUGGCAGGUUAAGAUAGAAAAUAUCGGAGCCAUAGUGAAAGCGAGCUUUAAUAGAGCUAUUGUCAUUAUAUACAGACCCGAACCCGGAUGAUCUAACCAUGGCCAGGUUGAAACUUAGGUAAUACUAAGUGGAGGACCGAACCGACUGAUGUUGAAAAAUCAGCGGAUGAGUUGUGGUUAGGGGUGAAAUGCCAAUCGAAUCCGGAGCUAGCUGGUUCUCCCCGAAAUGUGUUUAGGCGCAGCGGUUAACAGAAAACUCAGGGGUAAAGCACUGUUUCGGUGCGGGCUGGUAAUUCGGUACCAAAUCGAGGCAAACUCUGAAUACUGAGUGGACUUUUUUUAAAGUUAGCGUUAACUAGUAAGACUAUGGGGGAUAAGCUCCAUUGUCAAGAGGGAAACAGCCCAGAUCACCAGCUAAGGCCCCUAAAUAAUUACUAAGUGAUAAAGGAGGUGAGAAGGCUUUAACAACCAGGAGGUUUGCUUAGAAGCAGCAACCCUUUAAAGAGUGCGUAAUAGCUCACUGGUCGAGCAAUCUUGCGCCGAAAAUGUACGGGGCUAAGUAAUUUGCCGAAGCUGUGAGAUAUGCAUAAUAUAUCGGUAGGGGAGCGUUCUGUUGUAGGUUGAAGCAUUAGCGGAAGCGGGUGUGGACGAAACAGAAGUGAGAAUGUCGGCUUGAGUAGCGAAAACAUUGGUGAGAAUCCAAUGCCCCGAAAANCUAAGGUUUCCUUCGCAAGGCUCGUCCGAGGAGGGUUAGUCAGGACCUAAGGUGAGGCCGAAAGGCGUAAUCGAUGGACAACAUGUUAAUAUUCAUGUACCAUNUUUUGUUGGCAACGAGGGACGGAGAAGGCUAGNCUNGCCAGAUAUUGGUUACUGGUUUAAAUGUUCGAGAUGUUGAGAAGUAGAGAAAAUACUUUGAGUUNAGGCAUGAAUACAAGACACUACGGUGUUGAAGNAGUUGACGUCAUACUUCCAAGAAAAGCUUGCACUGUCAUAAACAAAANAUGCCUGUACCGUAAACCAACACAGGUNGNUGGGUAGAGAAUACUAAGGGGCGCGAGAUAACUCUCUCUAAGGAACUCGGCAAAAUGACCCCGUAACUUCGGGAGAAGGGGUGCCUUUGAANAAAGGUUGCAAUGAAAUGGCCCAAGCGACUGUUUACCAAAAACACAGGUCUCCGCUAAGUUGUAAAACGAAGUAUGGGGGCUGACGCCUGCCCAGUGCCGGAAGGUUAAAGACGUUGGUUAGCGUAAGCGAAGCUNAUUACUGAAGCCCCGGUGAACGGCGGCCGUAACAAUAACGGUCCUAAGGUAGCGAAAUUCCUUGUCGGGUAAGUUCCGACCCGCACGAAAGGCGUAACGAUCAGGGUACUGUCUCGGAGAGAGACUCGGCGAAAUAGACUUGUCUGUGAAGAUGCGGACUACCUACACCUGGACAGAAAGACCCUAUGAAGCUUCACUGUAACUUGAGACUGGGUUUGGUCUUUAUUUGCGCAGUAUAGGUGGGAGGCAUUGAAGAAAUUCUCGUGGGAAUUUUGGAGCCAUUAGUGAGAUACCACUCUAAUAAAGUUCGAAUUCUAACCUUAAUCCGUAAUCCGGUUAGGGAACACUCUCAGGUGGGCAGUUUG